GUGUGUGUCAACAAGAUAGAUUCCCUUACCACCAAAAGUGAAGCUGACGAAAAAGAGAGAAAGCUCAACCUACACCAAGUGGCUCACUCUUCCUUCCUACUGCUUGAGGAUCCAGAAGUAGGACUCUCAGCCCUUCUCCAGCACCAUGUCUGCCUGCUCUCUACCAUGCUUCCUGCCAUGAUGAUAAUGGACUAAACCUCAGAACACUUUGUAGUUAGCCUCCCUUGCUAGUCCCAGAAGAGGACAUGCUCAUGGCCUACAGAGACACCGGGCAUCCCUCCCUUGCUAGUCCCAGAAGAGGACAUGCUCAUGGCCUACAGAGACACCAGGCAUCCCUCCAGCUGUUCAGCUGACCGAGACAGAUGCUCAGCCCAGCAACUGACCUGAAGUGACUGGCAAAAAUUAAUUAACUUGCUGUGGAACUAAUAAUGAGCUGCUGGUUUGUGUUUUCCUUCCCUAA